GAUGAACGCUGGCGGCGUGCCUAAUACAUGCAAGUCGAGCGAACGGACGAGAAGCUUGCUUCUCUGAUGUUAGCGGCGGACGGGUGAGUAACACGUGGAUAACCUACCUAUAAGACUGGGAUAACUUCGGGAAACCGGAGCUAAUACCCGAUAAUAUUUUGAACCGCAUGGUUCAAAAGUGAAAGACGGUCUUGCUGUCACUUAUAGAUGGAUCCGCGCUGCAUUAGCUAGUUGGUAAGGUAACGGCUUACCAAGGCAACGAUGCAUAGCCGACCUGAGAGGGUGAUCGGCCACACUGGAACUGAGACACGGUCCAGACUCCUACGGGAGGCAGCAGUAGGGAAUCUUCCGCAAUGGGCGAAAGCCUGACGGAGCAACGCCGCGUGAGUGAUGAAGGUCUUCGGAUCGUAAAACUCUGUUAUUAGGGAAGAACAUAUGUGUAAGUAACUGUGCACAUCUUGACGGUACCUAAUCAGAAAGCCACGGCUAACUACGUG
rnacentral:rRNA from 1 species